AAAGGCUGCAGGGGAGGAAAGUCCGGGCUCCACGGAAACACGGUGCCGAAUAACGUCCGGCGGGGGCGACCCCAGGGAAAGUGCCACAGAAAGCAAACCGCCCGACAGGCCCCGGCCCGCCGGGUAAGGGUGAAAGGGUGGGGUAAGAGCCCACCGCGGGACCGGUAACGGGACCGGCAUGGUAAACCCCACCGGGAGCAAGACCGAAUAGGGAUGACGCGAGGUUCGCCUCAGGCCGUGUUUCCGGGUCAGUCGUCCGGGUAGGUUGCGCGAGGCGUCCGGCAACGGGCGCCCAAGAUGAAUGGUCGUCACGCGGCGGAAACGCCGCCGUACAGAACCCGGCUUACAGGCCAACUGGCGCG
rnacentral:RNase_P_RNA from 1 species